rnacentral:tRNA from 1 species
GGAGGAGUGGCCGAGCGGUCGAAGGCGGCGGACUUGAAAUCCGUUGGGCCCGUGAGGGUCUCGGGGGUUCGAAUCCCUCCUCCUCUGCCA